UCGGACGGGUGAGUAACGCGUGAGAAUCUAACUUCAGGACGGGGACAACAGUUGGAAACGACUGCUAAUACCCGAUGUGCCGCAAGGUGAAAACUAAUUGGCCUGAAGAAGAGCUUGCGUCUGAUUAGCUAGUUGGUGGGGUAAGAGCCUACCAAGGCGACGAUCAGUAGCUGGUCUGAGAGGAUGAGCAGCCACACUGGGACUGAGACACGGCCCAGACUCCUACGGGAGGCAGCAGUGGGGAAUUUUCCGCAAUGGGCGAAAGCCUGACGGAGCAACGCCGCGUGAGGGAGGAAGGUCUUUGGAUUGUAAACCUCUUUUCUCAAGGAAGAAGUUCUGACGGUACUUGAGGAAUCAGCCUCGGCUAACUCCGUGCCAGCAGCCGCGGUAAUACGGGGGAGGCAAGCGUUAUCCGGAAUUAUUGGGCGUAAAGCGUCCGCAGGUGGUCAGCCAAGUCUGCCGUCAAAUCAGGUUGCUUAACGACCUAAAGGCGGUGGAAACUGGCAGACUAGAGAGCAGUAGGGGUAGCAGGAAUUCCCAGUGUAGCGGUGAAAUGCGUAGAGAUUGGGAAGAACAUCGGUGGCGAAAGCGUGCUACUGGGCUGUAUCUGACACUCA
rnacentral:rRNA from 1 species